rnacentral:tRNA from 1 species
AUUCAAAAUCGGGUGCUAGAAUAAAAAGAAGUAGAGAGGUUCGAAUCCUCUUCGAGGCA